AUUGAACGCUGGCGGCAUGCUUUACACGUGCAAGUCGAACGGUAACAGGCCGCAAGGUGCUGACGAGUGGCGAACGGGUGAGUAAUGCAUCGGAACGUGCCCAGUCGUGGGGGAUAACGCAGCGAAAGCUGCGCUAAUACCGCAUACGAUCUCUGGAUGAAAGCGGGGGACCGAAAGGCCUCGCGCGAUUGGAGCGGCCGAUGUCAGAUUAGGUAGUUGGUGGGGUAAAGGCCCACCAAGCCAACGAUCUGUAGCUGGUCUGAGAGGACGACCAGCCACACUGGGACUGAGACACGGCCCAGACUCCUACGGGAGGCAGCAGUGGGGAAUUUUGGACAAUGGGCGCAAGCCUGAUCCAGCAAUGCCGCGUGCAGGAAGAAGGCCUUCGGGUUGUAAACUGCUUUUGUACGGAACGAAACGGUCCGGGCUAAUACCCUGGGCUAAUGACGGUACCGUAAGAAUAAGCACCGGCUAACUACGUGCCAGCAGCCGCGGUAAGAC
rnacentral:rRNA from 1 species